AUGAAAGACGAUGUAUGUUCUUGCAAUCUCUUCUCCUUCAACGCUACUGAUCGUGCCUCGCUGAAGGUGACAUCCCACAGGGCCAAGUUGAAGGAAUGGCCAUAA